CUAUGUUUUGGUACCUAGUUGGAUGAACUGAGACAAAUAUAUGAGGAGCUGCCUGAACUUCUGGAAGAGGUAGCUGUUAAAAGUCAAACAAGUUGUCAGAGGGAGCAGAUUUCAAAGUCAUGCACUACUUUAUAGCAAGUGUUCAAAGCUUCAUAUAUGAUGUAGGUGUCAUCAUUGGAGCUUGCAAGACUUCCUAAUUUGCAUCGUGAUGAGUGCGUCCCUUGUAUUAUUUACAUACAUCAAAUAGGAUACUUGCUGUGCAUAUCUGAAGAAAAGCUUGACGAGCGCACCCUACAGACGCUUGAAGAUAUUGAAUAUGCUUUUUCUGAUGGUGAAAAAGAGCCAAAAAGGUUUUUCUAUCGCACUUCAAAGACACGGGAGUUGGACAACGUUCUUGGGGACAUAUAUCACAAAAUAUUGGGUACUGCAUUGCUGUAGUCUACUAGCUUCCAUGAAUUACAUAUUGA